GAUGAAGAACGCAGCGAAAUGCGAUAAGUAAUGUGAAUUGCAGAAUUCAGUGAAUCAUCGAAUCUUUGAACGCACAUUGCGCCCGCCAGCAUUCUGGCGGGCAUGCCUGUUCGAGCGUCAUUUCAACCCUCGAGCCCCCCCGGGGGCCUCGGUGUUGGGGGACGGCACACCAGCCGCCCCCGAAAUGCAGUGGCGACCUCGCCGCAGCCUCCCCUGCGUAGUAGCACACACCUCGCACCGGAGCGCGGAGACGGUCACGCCGUAAAACGCCCAACUUCUUAGAGUUGACCUCGGAUCAGGUAGGAAUACCCGCUGAACUUAAGCAUAUCAAUAAGCUGAGGA
rnacentral:misc_RNA from 1 species